UAGAUAUGAGGUGCUUUG
rnacentral:siRNA from 1 species